AGUGAACGCUGGCGGUAGGCCUAACACAUGCAAGUUGAACGGCAGCACAGUAAGAGCUUGCUCUUACGGGUGGCGAGUGGCGGACGGGUGAGGAAUACAUCGGAAUCUACUUUUUCGUGGGGGAUAACGUAGGGAAACUUACGCUAAUACCGCAUACGACCUACGGGUGAAAGCAGGGGAUCUUCGGACCUUGCGCGAUUGAAUGAGCCGAUGUCGGAUUAGCUAGUUGGCGGGGUAAAGGCCCACCAAGGCGACGAUCCGUAGCUGGUCUGAGAGGAUGAUCAGCCGCACUGGAACUGAGACACGGUCCAGACUCCUACGGGAGGCAGCAGUGGGGAAUAUUGGACAAUGGGCGCAAGCCUGAUCCAGCCAUACCGCGUGGGUGAAGAAGGCCUUCGGGUUGUAAAGCCCUUUUGUUGGGAAAGAAAAGCAGCAGGUUAAUACCCCGCUGUUCUGACGGUGCCCAAAGAAUAAGCACCGGCUAACUUCGUG
rnacentral:rRNA from 1 species